rnacentral:rRNA from 1 species
UACGAAGGGGGCUAGCGUUGUUCGGAUUUACUGGGCGUAAAGCGCACGUAGGCGGGUCGUUAAGUCAGGGGUGAAAUCCUGGAGCUCAACUCCAGAACUGCCUUUGAUACUGGCGACCUAGAGUCCGGAAGAGGUGAGUGGAACUCCUAGUGUAGAGGUGGAAUUCGUAGAUAUUAGGAAGAACACCAGUGGCGAAGGCGGCUCACUGGUCCGGUACUGACGCUGAGGUGCGAAAGCGUGGGGAGCAAACAGGAUUAGAAACCCCCGUAGUCC